UGAGGUUCUUGUUAAAAUGUGGAUUCUAAUUUAGUAGGUCUGGGCCCUGAGAUUCUGCAUUUCUAACAAGUUCCCAGUGGAUGUCA
rnacentral:pre_miRNA from 14 species